rnacentral:rRNA from 1 species
AUUGAACGCUGGCGGCAGGCUUAACACAUGCAAGUCGAGCGAGCGGCGGCCGGGUGAGUAAUGUCUGGGACACUGCCUGAUGGAGGGGGAUAACUACUGGAAACGGUAGCUAAUACCGCAUACCAUCAGAUGUGCCCAGAUGGGAUUAGCGAGUCGGUGGGGUGAUGGCUCACCUAGGCGACUAUCCCUAGCUGGUCUGCGAGGAUGACCAGCAACACGGGAAUGGAGACACGGGCCAGAAGCCUACGGGAGGCAUCAGUGGGGAAUAGUGAACAAUGGGCGAAAGCCUGAUGCAGCCAUGCCGCGUGUGUGAAGAAGGCCUUCGGGUUGUAAAGCACUUUCAGCGAGGAGGCGUUACUCGCAGAAGAAGCACCGGCUAACUCCGUGCCAGCAGCCGCGGUAAUUC